rnacentral:rRNA from 1 species
CCUACGGGAGGCAGCAGUGGGGAAUUUUGGACAAUGGGCGAAAGCCUGAUCCAGCAAUGCCGCGUGAGUGAAGAAGGCCUUCGGGUUGUAAAGCUCUUUUGUCAGGGAAGAAACGGUGAAAGCUAAUAUCUUUUGCUAAUGACGGUACCUGAAGAAUAAGCACCGGCUAACUACGUGCCAGCAGCCGCGGUAAUACGUAGGGUGCAAGCGUUAAUCGGAAUUACUGGGCGUAAAGCGUGCGCAGGCGGUUUUGUAAGUCUGAUGUGAAAUCCCCGGGCUCAACCUGGGAAUUGCAUUGGAGACUGCAAGGCUAGAAUCUGGCAGAGGGGGGUAGAAUUCCACGUGUAGCAGUGAAAUGCGUAGAUAUGUGGAGGAACACCGAUGGCGAAGGCAGCCCCCUGGGUCAAGAUUGACGCUCAUGCACGAAAGCGUGGGGAGCAAACAGGAUUAGAUACCCUGGUAGUCCACGCCCUAAACGAUGUCUACUAGUUGUCGGGUCUUAAUUGACUUGGUAACGCAGCUAACGCGUGAAGUAGACCGCCUGGGGAGUACGGUCGCAAGNUUAAAACUCAAAGGAUUGACGG